rnacentral:RNase_P_RNA from 1 species
AGUGGCGGGAGGAUGGCUAACCCGGCCUUUAUGGCCGCGGGAGGAAGUUCUGCCCACCGCAAGAGCCUGGAAACGCCUAAGGCGAUAUCGGGAACAGAAACGUGUGGGGAGGCCCGCAAGGGCUGAUCCGCAAUACCGGCCCUUGCAGAUGAGUAUGACGCAAGGAGAUGCAGGGGAACCGGAUGAAACGGCCCGUGCCCGGGCGCGAUGCGCGGUGCAAGGCAAUAUGCCGCUUAGUCCAAUGCCAUCAAAAACAGAAGGCAGGCUACCACCCGCCGCU